AACACUGUCCGGGAUGUCGAAACGAGGACGAUGAGGUUCCACCAUGAACAAGUUCAGAAUGUCAGUGGGUCUGCCGGUGGCAGCGACGGUGAACUGCGCCGAUAACACUGGUGCGAAGAACCUGUACAUCAUUUCCGUGAAAGGGAUCAAGGGAAGGCUUAACAGGUUGCCUUCAACUUGUGUUAGAGAUAUGGUAAUGGCUACUGUGAAGAAGGGUAAGACAGUUCUCAGGAAGAAGGUUAUGUCUGCUGUCAUUGUUCGUCAGCGCAAGCCAUGGUGUUAGUUUCGCUCUUUCCGUCCAUCACUAGCCAAGGUUCAUUUGAGUUCGAGGUCACCAGUGAAGUCGGUUGUAGUGGAAUAGCUUAUUUCAGCUUGUCAUUGUCUCAGUCACUGCUCGUAACGAGUUUGAAGAUUACAAAGAAAGCAACCGUAGUGGAAGAACAUUGAUAUCAAUUUCAGGACUCUUUGUGUGGACUUUGCAGGUCGAGAAGAUGCAUAUGGCUGGUGAAAAAAUAUCUGAGGAUAUUCAAACUUUAGCUAUUGGCCCAUUAAUACAAGCAAAAAGAAUGACUGGCUAUAUAUGUGAUGGAGUUAGAUACUUAACAGAGUCUCAUGAUGUUAAGAGAAAAACUCAAAAUAGUGGUAUUAUGUUAAAGGCUAUCACUCAAAGUUAUGCAAGCACAAAAGAUAAAAAUCCCAUAUUGGCAGAGGUUUCUUUUUAUGGAAUCCUCACAGACAUAAUUGAGUUAUAUUAUUCCAAGAAUCUCAAGUUUGUAUUGUUUAAAUGUAAAUGGGUGAACAAUAGCAAGGGUCUUAUUGAGAAAGAUGAUUAUGGAUUUACUCUUGUGAAUUUUAAUCAUCUACUGUAUACAAGACAUCAGUUAUCAAAUGAACCAUUCAUCUUUGCUUCUCAAGCUCAACAAG